CGCGUGGGCGACCUGCCUCACACAGGGGGAUAACAGCCAGAAAUGGCUGCUAAUACCGCAUAAGCGCACAGUGCUGCAUGGCACAGUGUGAAAAACCGAGGUGGUGUGAGAUGGGCCCGCGUCUGAUUAGCUUGUUGGCGGGGUAACGGCCCACCAAGGCGACGAUCAGUAGCCGGCUUGAGAGAGUGGACGGCCACAUUGGAACUGAGACACGGUCCAAACUCCUACGGAAGGCAGCAG
rnacentral:rRNA from 1 species